rnacentral:rRNA from 1 species
UACGUAGGGUGCAAGCGUUGUCCGGAAUUAUUGGGCGUAAAGAGCUCGUAGGCGGUCUGUCGCGUCUGCUGUGAAAACUCAGGGCUUAACCCUGAGCUUGCAGUGGGUACGGGCAGACUAGAGUGCGGUAGGGGAGACUGGAAUUCCUGGUGUAGCGGUGAAAUGCGCAGAUAUCAGGAGGAACACCAGUGGCGAAGGCGGCUCACUGGACCGGUUCUGACGCUGAGGCGCGAAAGCGUGGGGAGCAAACGGG